GAGCAUGUAGGCGGCUUUGUAAGUCGGUUGUGAAAGCCUUCCGCUUAACGGAAGAAUGGCGGCCGAAACUGCAUGGCUUGAGUGCGGUAGGGGAGAGUGGAACUUCUGGUGGAGCGGUGAAAUGCGUAGAUAUCAGAAGGAACGCCGGCGGCGAAAGCGACUCUCUGGAGACCGUAACUGACGCUGAGUGUGCGAAAGCUAGGGGAGCAAACGGGAUUAGAUACCCCGGUAGCUAGCCGUAAACGAUGGGCACUAAGUAGAGGGGUUUUGAUUAUUUCUCUGCCGGAGCUAACGCAUUAAGUGCCCCGCCUGGGGAGUACGGCCGCAAGGCUAAAACUCAAGAAUUGACGGGGGCUCGCACAAGCGGUGGAGCAUGUGGCUUAAUUCGAUGCAACGCGAAGAACCUUACCGGGGCUUGACAUGGUAGAAGUAGAAUCCUCAAGGGUGACGAUUCGGUAUCCAGUCCGAAGCUAUCACAGGUGUUGCAUGGCUGUC
rnacentral:rRNA from 1 species